AGCGAAGCGGGAAAAUAUGGCUCCACGUCCUCCUGCACCGCUAAUCCUUGAACCAUCCACAGGUACAACUUGAAAGACCGCUGCUGCCACAAAGAAAGCAACCUGCUCUAAGCCAAUUCCAUUUCUGGUGUGUGACAAAGCCGGCUUCGUUAUUAGAUCGCUCCAGACGAGCAAAAGCAAGGCCCUGGGAUCUGGAGCACGCAGCCCCAACCUUAGCACCCAGGCACGCCAGCCCGCGCGCGGAGCGGUCUCUCGGCGGGGCCCCGGGACUCCCGCAGGCGCCGGGCGCAGGCGGCUGCGGGGGUGCCAGCCUCACCCCCGAGAAAGGCCGCGGAGAAGUUGCCGCCGCCUUCUCACCUGGAGACCAGCAGAUGCAUUAUUAACUUGGCUAGCAGCAAGACCUCAUAAAUGCAAAGUAACCAUUCAAGGACACCACUUCCAGCUUGUAAUGUAUAAGGAUGUAACUGACCAAUUCCAGGGAUCCUUGUGGAUAAGGAAUAAACUCUGUGAAUGCAAGAUGCCAUAUUGUGAGCUAAGCUGUGGAUAGACCCUCCGGCAAGCAACUGAGGGCAGACUCCAGACAAUACCCAGAAAGGAACUGAAACUCUGAGUCCAACAACCCAAAGGAACUGAAUCCUCCCAACAACCAUAUGAGCUUGGAGGUAGAUUCUUCCCCAAUCAGAUCUUCAGAUAAGAAUCCAACUCCUAGCCAACUCCUUAAUUGCAGCCUCAUGAGAAGUCCCAAAGCAGAGGACUCAGCUAAGCCAUGCCUGGAUUCUUGAUUCACACAAACUCUGAGGUAAUAGAUGUGUGUUGUUUUAAGCCACUACCUUUGUGUAUGCAGCAACAGAUAACUAAUAAAAACACCUACUGAUGUUCUAA